UUAGGGCAAGUUUAGUUGAACCUGUCUUUUACAAAGACAAAGAUUUCCUUAAAGAGCUUUAUU
rnacentral:tRNA from 1 species